rnacentral:ncRNA from 1 species
GUGUUGUAUGAAAGGAGAGAAGGUUAGCACUCCCCUUGAAAAAGAUGGAAGAGGCCCUUGGGCCUAACAACAUGCAUAAGGUUAAGGCAUUGCCACCUACUUUGUGGCAUCUAACCACUGCUUUUG